UAUGUGAUCGUCUCUCGCAUAUCAAUAAGCGGAGGAAAAGAAACUAACAAGGAUUCCCCUAGUAACGGCGAGUGAAGCGGGAAGAGCUCAAAUUUGAAAUCUUAAAGGGUUUCCCUUUACGAAUUGUAGUUUAAAGAAGUGUUUUCUGUUGAGGUUUUGGUAAAAGUUCUUUGGAAUAGGACAUCAUAGAGGGUGAGAAUCCCGUAUUUGACCUUUACUUUCAACUUUGUGAUACACUUUCAAAGAGUCGGAUUGUUUGGGAAUGCAGUCCAAAAUGGGUGGUAAAUUUCAUCUAAAGCUAAAUAUUGGCGAGAGACCGAUAGCGAACAAGUACCGUGAGGGAAAGAUGAAAAGAACUUCGAAAAGAGAGUUAAACAGUACGUGAAAUUGUCAAAAGGGAAGCGUUUGACACCAGUGUUGUUUUCUGAAAAUCAAUUAAAGAACUGUUUAUGCUAAGCUGUUUAGACUUUAUCAGCUAUCUGUUUAGUUUUGAGCUUUUCUUUAAUGCACUUUUCAGUUAACAAGUCAACAUCAAUUUCUUUUGCUGUAAAAAAGCUUGAGGAAGGUGGCUUGAGAUUCGUCUUAAGUGUUUAUAGCCUCUUGCCUAUGCAGUCGGAGAGAUUGAGGUCUGCAGCGUAGAUCCUUCGGGGCUAAAUGCAUUUGUGCUAAGUUAUAGCAUUUUAUAGACAACUUGUUGACUAUGAUUUGUCUUGUAGCUUACUCGCUUAUGUUAUUUUACCUACGCUUAGGAUGUUGAACGCGCACAGAGUCUC
rnacentral:rRNA from 1 species